rnacentral:tRNA from 1 species
AGAGAUUUAAGUUAAUAAAAACUAAUAGCCUUCAAAGCUUUAAUUGAUACUUAAAAUCAAUCUCUA